rnacentral:rRNA from 1 species
GACGAACGCUGGCGGCGUGCUUAACACAUGCAAGUCGAACGGAAAGGCCCUGCUUUUGUGGGGUGCUCGAGUGGCGAACGGGUGAGUAACACGUGAGUAACCUGCCCUUGACUUUGGGAUAACUUCAGGAAACUGGGGCUAAUACCGGAUAGGAGCUCCUGCUGCAUGGUGGGGGUUGGAAAGUUUCGGCGGUUGGGGUUGGACUCGCGGCUUAUCAGCUUGUUGGUGGGGUAGUUGCUUACCAAGGCUUUGACGGGUAGCCGGCCUGAGAGGGUGACCGGCCACAUUGGGACUGAGAUACGGCCCAGACUCUAACGGGAGGCAGCAGUGGGGAAUAUUGCACAAUGGGCGGAAGCCUGAUGCAGCAACGCCGCGUGCGGGAUGACGGCCUUCGGGUUGUAAACCGCUUUCGCCUGUGACGAAGCGUGAGUGACGGUAAUGGGUAAAGAAGCACCGGCUAACUACGUG